AGAGCGAACGCUGGCGGCAUGCUUAACACAUGCAAGUCGCACGGGCAGGGGAAACCCUGUCAGUGGCGGACGGGUGAGUAACGCGUAGGUAUCUAUCCUUGGGUGGGGGACAACUGUGGGAAACUACAGCUAAUACCGCAUGAUAACUGAGGUUUAAAGGCGCAAGUCGCCUGGGGAGGAGCCUGCGUACGAUUAGCUAGUUGGUGGGGUAAAGCCUACCAAGGCUGCGAUCGUUAGCUGGUCUGAGAGGAUGAUCAGCCACAUUGGGACUGAGACACGGCCCAAACUCCUACGGGAGGCAGCAGUGGGGAAUAUUGGACAAUGGGCGAAAGCCUGAUCCAGCAAUGCCGCGUGUGUGAAGAAGGUCUUCGGAUUGUAAAGCACUUUCGACGGGGACGAUGAUGACGGUACCCGUAGAAGAAGCCCCGGCUAACUUCGUGCCAGCAGCCGC
rnacentral:rRNA from 1 species